rnacentral:rRNA from 1 species
GACGAACGCUGGCGGCGUGCUUAACACAUGCAAGUCGAACGGAAAGGCCCCAGCUUGCUGGGGUACUCGAGUGGCGAACGGGUGAGUAACACGUGGGUGAUCUGCCCUGCACUCUGGGAUAAGCCUGGGAAACUGGGUCUAAUACCGGAUAGGACCGUGCUUUAGUGUGUGCGGUGGAAAGUUUUUCGGUGCAGGAUGAGCCCGCGGCCUAUCAGCUUGUUGGUGGGGUAAUGGCCUACCAAGGCGGCGACGGGUAGCCGGCCUGAGAGGGUGUACGGCCACAUUGGGACUGAGACACGGCCCAGACUCCUACGGGAGGCAGCAGUGGGGAAUAUUGCACAAUGGGCGCAAGCCUGAUGCAGCGACGCCGCGUGGGGGAUGACGGCCUUCGGGUUGUAAACCCCUUUCGGCAGGGACGAAGCUUUUGUGGCGGUACCUGCAUAAGAAGCACCGGCUAACUACGUG